UUCGCGGAGGCCGGAGGGAGCUGCUGGUACAAAAAGCGGAAUAUGUUUGAUUUAAGCUAAAGUAGAGUUACGUUUCAUCUAAGUAAUUGCAUUUUUUUUAAUGAAAGCUGGACAUAAUGUCCCUCUUAUAGCAUGUUUUCUUUAAAACGGUGUUUUUUUUCUAGACACUGUUCGUUCUUUGGAGAUGAGAACGUCGUGUUCAGUGUGAGACUAGACAUAAGGAAGAAUUUCUUUGUCGUGAGAGUGGUGAGGCACUGGCACAGGUUGCUCAGGGAAGCUGUGGCUGCCCCGUCCCUGGAAGUGUUCGAGGCCAGGUUGGAUGGGGCCUUGGGCAGCCUGACCUAGUGGGAGGUGUCCCUGCCCAUGGCAGGGGAUCUGGAACUGGAUGAUCUUUGAGGUCCCUUCCAACCCAAACUAAUCUAUGAUUUUGUGAUCCGUGCUGAGCAGAUGUGUCUGCUUCUGCCAUCGGCUCUGUUUGCAGUCUUUCCGGAUCUCAAAUGUAAGGUCAGGCAGAGCUGGCUGCAGAGCUCCAAAUUAGCAAGAGUUUUGACUGUUUUGAAGUUGAUAAUAUUAAAAUUAAUCUUUGGAAAAUAAUAGAAUAUGCAUAACAUUUCUGGGAAAAUUUAUCCCUACACGUGUAAGUGGGAAAUGUAUUCUGUCCCCAGCUCCUGUCUCAUAGAAUAGAAUCAUAGAAUCGGCAGGUUGGAAAAGACCUCUUAGAUCAUCGAGUCUAGCCAUUCCUAUCUGCCACUGAACCACGUCCUUGAGUACCUCGUCUCUUGGAGAUCGCUCCUGCACGUUGCUCAGCCCUGAUAAAGGAUGCUCGUUUUCUAAAACUCGAAAACGAGUCUUAGUUUAUCUGCCGGCAUUUUCAUCAUCCCCUUAGACCCCACAAGCGCUUGGGUAGGCGUCGUACCACUAUCAGGAGGUGCUUCUGUUCGCUGGCUGAAAGCUGCGGCUCCAGAGUCUGCCCGGGAGUGAGUCCCGCCACCCCCGGAGGGGUCCGAGGGCUCGCACGCCUCCUCCAGAGACCGGCGCAGCGCGUCCUCAAACGGGUAUUUUACAAAUAUUUUACUUGGGCAUUUAGUGAGGCUUCAGGGUAUUGAGAGUCUCUCACUGACUGACUGCCUCCGCUGGAGCCCUUUGAUCUCCUUCCAGGCUGUGGUGCGAGAUGCUGCUGUGACCUACUCUUGUCCUGCAGACCAGAUCCUAUUCAUCCAGACAGCAGCUGAAGAGUUUUCUAAACUCAAUUAGUGCAAGAAUGCUGUGACCAACGGAAAAAUGUUUGAUGCAUGCCAGAAAACAAAUCUUCCCAGCUCUUGGAAAUAUGUUCUGAAAA